GUUGAGGAAGUUGUCUCCUAUAACAAUGAGUUCAAGGAUAUUUGCUCCUUUCUGUUAUAUUAGGUUUAAAGUAUCUGGCUUUACAUUAAGGUCGUUGAUCCAUUUACUUGAGUUUUGUGAAGAGUGAUAGAUAUGGAUCUAUUUGUAUUCUACAUGCAGAAAACCAGUUAGACCAGCACCAUUUGUUGAAGAUGCUUUCUUUAUUAUGGUUUUGGCUUCUUUGUCAAAGAUCAAGUGCCCAUAGGCCUGGCUGGGCCAUGCUGCUGGACAGAAGGCUCUGGUUUGCUGGGAGUUGCCCUCUUCCCUUCAUACCAGACUUACUCCAUCACGCAGCCAUGUGAGGCUGGCCUGCCUUGCCUUUCAUAUUUCCUGCAUUCUCUGGAGAUAGGGGAUUUGUUGACAUUUUUCUACAAACCCUGUUGCUAUUAUGAAUCAGAAACAGAUUUCAAGCUCCAGCACUCUCAGAGUUAAGCUGCAUUGAAAAGGAGGA
rnacentral:lncRNA from 1 species